CGUUAUCNGGAAUUACUGGGCGUAAAGCGUUCGUAGGCGGUUAUUUAANGUUAGAUGUGAAAGCCCCGGGCUUAACCUGGGAACUGCAUUUAAAACUGGGUAACUAGAGUUUAGGAGAGGGAAGUGGAAUUUCAGGUGUAGCAGUGAAAUGCGUAGAGAUCUGAAGGAACACCAGUGGCGAAGGCGACUUCCUGGACUAAAACUGACGCUGAGGAACGAAAGCGUGGGUAGCAAACGGGAUUAGAUACCCCGGGUAGUCCACGCCGUAAACGAUGUCAACUAGCCGUUGGGCCUAUAUACAGGUUUAGUGGCGGAGCUAACGUAUUAAGUUGACCGCCUGGGGAGUACGGCCGCAAGGUUAAAACUCAAAUGAAUUGACGGGGGCCCGCACAAGCGGUGGAGCAUGUGGUUUAAUUCGAUGCAACGCGAAGAACCUUACCUACCCUUGACAUCCAGAGAAUCUGUUAGAGAUAGUAGAGUGCCUUCGGGAACUCUGAGACAGGUGCUGCAUGGCUGUCGUCAGCUCGUGUCGUGAGAUGUUGGGUUAAGUCCCGUAACGAGCGCAACCCUUAUCCUUAGUUGCUAGCAGGUCAAGCUGAGAACUCUAAGGAGACUGCCGGUGAUAA
rnacentral:rRNA from 1 species